GCAGACUCACUCUGUUCCAAACUGCUACCUCCAGUUACGGUACUUUUUCAGUCUGCUAAAUAAACUCCAGGAUCUUCUUUAGAAGACUUUUGUUUUGUAACAAAAAGUUGUCUAGUUGAUCAUGGAACAUACAA